UCCGGUUUGUCACCGGCAGUCUGGCUAGAGUGCCCAGCAUUACCUGUUGGCAACUAACCACGAGGGUUGCGCUCGUUGCGGGACUUAACCCAACAUCUCACGACACGAGCUGACGACAGCCAUGCAGCACCUGUGUCCAAGCUCCCUUGCGGGCACUCCCCUAUUUCUAGGGGAUUCUUGGCAUGUCAAGCCUUGGUAAGGUUCUUCGCGUUGCGUCGAAUUAAACCACAUCCUCCACCGCUUGUGCGGGCCCCCGUCAAUUCCUUUGAGUUUCACACUUGCGUGCGUACUCCCCAGGCGGAUCACUUAACGCGUUAGCUACGGCACUGGGGGGGUCGAUACCCCCAACACCUAGUGAUCAUCGUUUACAGCGUGGACUAC
rnacentral:misc_RNA from 1 species